UGGAAGGUGAUGGGGAGCCAGCACAUCACAUCGUGAGAGAGGGAGCAAGAGAGCAAACCAACUCUUUCUCAUAAUAAACACUGUGCUAAAUGGAUGUAUGGAGAUGUUUCUCUCCAGCAAAGAUAAGGAAAUGGCUGGAAGACUGCGAAAGAAUAGAUGUGCCACUUUGGAAGUUGGCAUAAAAAUGAAUGAUAUUUUUACUUUUUGGAAAGCCAAGCAGGUCCCAGAGUCGUGGGGCAGUACUUGGCCUCAUCUCUGAGGCCACCCAUUCUGCUGCUGGCAGCCACAGUGAUGUACCCUUGGCACUAUGUCGCUCCCCCUACUUGGCAUCCUCAGUUUUUCUAAACUCAUGGGUGAGAGACGAAUGACGUCAGAGGCCCAAACCUUUGGAUGCUGAUCUAAAAGCAUCAACCAAAACCCAACACCCGAGCUUCGUAAGUUCCCAUUUGAAGCAGGAGCAGUUUUUAUAGCAACAGACAAAGGAUUGCUCUGUCCUUGUUGGAAGUGCUUGAGGACCAAGCACAGAGGUGGGCAAAGAUCGUCAUCAGGGCUUCUGCUACCUGUCUUAG
rnacentral:lncRNA from 1 species